UCCUAGCUGUAAACGAUGCGGGCUAGGUGUUGGCAUUACUGCGAGUGAUGCCAGUGCCGAAGGGAAGCCGUUAAGCCCGCCAUCUGGGGAGUACGGUCGCAAGGCUGAAACUUAAAGGAAUUGGCGGGGGAGCACUACAACGGGUGGAGCCUGCGGUUCAAUUGGAUUCAACGCCGGAAACCUCACCGGAGGCGACAGCGAGAUGAAGGUCAGGUUGAAGACCUUACUGGAUUAGCUGAGAGGUGGCGCAUGGCCGCCGGCAGUUCGUGUCGUGAAACAUCCUGUUAAGUCAGGCAACGGGCGAGACCCGCGCUCACAGUUGCCAGCAUCUCCGCAAGGAGGAUGGGCACUCUGUGAGGACUGCCGCCGCUAAGGUGGAGGAAGAAGCGGGCCACGGUAGGUCAGUAUGCCCCGAAUCCUCCGGGCUACACGCGUGCUACAAUGGGUAGUACAAUGGGUAUCGACCCCGAAAGGGGAGAUA
rnacentral:rRNA from 1 species